GGCCCCGGGGGCGCCCGUUGGGUCCGGGGCCUCCGGCGUCUCAGGAGUGUUCGGUGCGGGGCCGGCCGGGGCCG
rnacentral:tRNA from 1 species